GACGAACGCUGGCGGCGUGCCUAAUACAUGCAAGUUGAGCGCUGAAGGUUGGUACUUGUACCAACUGGAUGAGCAGCGAACGGGUGAGUAACGCGUGGGGAAUCUGCCUUUGAGCGGGGGACAACAUUUGGAAACGAAUGCUAAUACCGCAUAAAAACUUUAAACACAAGUUUUAAGUUUGAAAGAUGCAAUUGCAUCACUCAAAGAUGAUCCCGCGUUGUAUUAGCUAGUUGGUGAGGUAAAGGCUCACCAAGGCGAUGAUACAUAGCCGACCUGAGAGGGUGAUCGGCCACAUUGGGACUGAGACACGGCCCAAACUCCUGCGGGAGGCAGCAGUAGGGAAUCCUCGGCAAUGGACGAAAGUCUGACCGAGCAACGCCGCGUGAGUGAAGAAGGUUUUCGGAUCGUAAAACUCUGUUGGUAGAGAAGAACGUUGGUGAGAGUGGAAAGCUCAUCAAGUGACGGUAACUACCCAGAAAGGGACGGCUAACUACGUG
rnacentral:rRNA from 1 species